UACGUAGGGGGCUAGCGUUGUCCGGAUUUAUUGGGCGUAAAGAGCGUGUAGGCGGCCAAGCAGGUCCGCUGUGAAAACUCGAGGCUCAACCUCGAGAGGUCGGUGGAAACCGUUUGGCUAGAGUCCGGAAGAGGAGAGUGGAAUUCCCGGUGUGAGCGGUGAAAUGCGCAGAUAUCGGGAAGAACACCCGUGGCGAAGGCGGCUCUCUGGGACGGUACUGACGCUGAGACGCGAAAGCGUGGGGAGCGAACAGG
rnacentral:rRNA from 1 species